CUCGUAUAUGAAAAAGAAAUGAGAGUACUUGAAGUCAUUAACCGCGCGAUGUUGCCACGGGUGGUCUUGGCUUUGACAGCCUGUGGUACGGAGGAGGUUCUCUAAUGACGGGGUGUGGCAAAAUCCACCGGUAAUAGAGUCGUCGGUGGAAAAUUCCGAUGGUUGGUUAAGAAUCUCUUGGUCAGGGGCAUCCUGAAUCGAGGGAGGAAGGGUAGAAAAGGUCUUGAGACGGUAAGCCUUU
rnacentral:lncRNA from 1 species